GUGGACAUGUUCAUAACAUCUUCCUUGAUGGAGCGUGAUGCACAAGCUUCCAGUGGAACCUGGAAUUAAGGCGCUUAAGGUUGGUAGCUUAAGUUUCUAAGAACAAACUAAAAUAUAUUUCUGUUGUUACACAGCAUUUUACCCAGAGGGUAGAGGCACUAAGUUCUUGAACUUUCUUGGAGUUUAAUUUAUGUUGGUUGAAUGUGAGUGCUGCAGCUAAAGUUGUCCUCAGAUGUACAGGAAGUGCUCGGUUUGCUGCCUUAAUCAGCACAAAAUGUGAUUGAACCAGCUCUUUCUUUCCUUCCCUGUGGCACCAAAGUUGAAUGUUGUGGACAUGUCCUUGGAGACCGAACUCUAACGUAUCUGAAAUAGGAUCUUUGAAAUUUGAGAUUUUUUGAUCAGGGCUGGAGUCGACCACUGCUGCCCCACCUCUCCUGGAUGUUCUCCCAUCCCUAGGAAGCUUUCCAUCCCUUAUAGCUGCUCUAUCUCCCCUGUGACAGCAGCAAGAGUGGCUGCAGUAAUCCAGUUAGGGGAAACUCACUCACUCUAAAUAGCAGCCACAGAGAUUAUUCCUCCGGGUAAAAUGGCACCGCAGGCGUGUGUGUGUAUGUGUGUGUGAGAGAGAGAGCGAGAAAGAGAGAGCGAGAGAGAGAGUGUGAGUGUGUAAGUCACCAGGGAACAUGCAAUGUAAUCACAGCAGGCGAUUACCUGGUAGCAGUCAGGUUGUUCUGUGUGUGUGUGUGUGUGUGUGUGUGUGUGUGUGCGUGCGUGCGUGCAUGCGUGCGUGUGUGAAAAUCCUAGGAGAGCAUCAAAAAGUAAUCACAGGAGACUGUUACUCAGUGGAAGUCAGGUGUGUGUGUGUGUAACUUGGUCACUGAGAUAAGACUGUAUAUACACUAAGAUAAAAUAUCUGCUCUGCAGGUAAACUGAAGAUGCUGCAUCACCACACACACACACACACACACACACACACACACACACACACACACACACACACACACACACACACACACACACAAAAUCCUCCCUCAUCAGCACUUUGCAUCCCAGUACACUUCAGUUUGUAUUGAAACUGUCUCUCCAGCAUCCACAAAAGUUUCUUUGAAAGAACUGUCAGUGACUCACUCUGAAUCCCAUCCUGGUGUGAUGCCUGCGUGAAAAUCCAGAGUGAUGCACUCAGUCUGGAUUACUUGGGACUUUGAGAGUUCACAUUUUACAACUGGACUGAGGCUGAAACUGAAGAUUUGUCAAACACUUUGCUUAAGAACCUCAUUGUGUUGUUUAAUCUUAAUCAUUUAACGCUUUUUGAGUAGACGGUGUAUUUUAAUUCAUAACAAUCCAUAUCUCCUUCAGUGUCAGAUGGUGCAGUUUCUCAUUGUGUGAAGAAGUACUUCCCGGGUAAUUACGCCUAAAGCAUGAAAAUAUGAGCAGAGUCUGUACAGCCUCCCACAGCUGAUGGCACCAGUAGCAUUAGCAGUUUAGCCACAACUAACGGUGCAACCACCAAACCAAAGCAGCGAUCAAUUGUAUCAUCAACGUUUACAUCAUCUUCAUCAUCACCUUCAUCAUCACCAUAUGACAAAAUAUAUUGUGAUGUUUUUACUUUUUUUUUUUUGCUGAAUCGCCCAGUCCAAGAGAGGUGUUUUAAAGUGUUAUUGUAUUUUAUGAGCAGCUUUCUCCAUCAUGAAGUUGAAAUCAUGCAAGUUAAGAACAAUGGCUUGUGCUGGUUUGUUUAAAAAAGACGAAAAUGGCAAGAAGACGUUUGAAGGAAAGUCCUGGAAAAAAGGUCCUGCGCAAGUUGUUAAAUACCCAUCUAGGGGGUCAGUUUAAGAAGAGUCUGGUCUCUCCCAAGGUCCCAAACCACAUGUGAAGAUAGAAUUAAAUAUUAUACUGUGAUUUAUUGAUGUAUUGAUGAAAAAAAAAAAAAACAUUAACAAAUCUGUGUUUACCAGUGCCCAAAAUGACAGCGCAAGCUAUCUGUUUUCGGAACACUAACCAGUAUUUAUUUCCUUUUUUUCCACAUUUCAUUAACUAUAGCAGAUCACUAUCAUUCAUAUUAUUAUGAAAAACUAAACAACUGAACUUAAGUCGAAACUUUAUCAAAUAAAUGUUGAAUUCAGAUUAAAAAGUUAACUCAUUUACAUCAAACCAUCGGGUUUUUUUUUGUUUUGUUUGUUUGUUGACAAAAUGAGAAAAAAACAUGGUAAAAUUUAGUUUUAAGAAUGUAUGAUUUCACAUUUUCUGCACUUUUGAAAUCCAGUGUAAAUCUUGUUAUUUUAACCACAUGACUGAUAUUUAUGUGUGGAGCAGUAUUCAUCUGUAUUAUUCUGUGUAUUCAUCAUAACAAAACUUCAACACUGGCCAGUAAUGUUUUCAGAUUCGGUUUGCAAUCAUUUCGGAUGAAGAACCCAUGUUAUCAUUAAGAAAAGAUCAUUCCUGUUGUUGACACAGUGGAAGUAUUUACAGGAAGACAGCUUAAACCCUCUCACAACCGCAAAAUCCAGCUAUGACUUGUAUACCUGCUAUUUCAUAUUUUAACUUUGUUUUCUCUUUUGUAUGAGUGAGAGAAAUCUGACUGUGAGUCUGCAAAUGCUUUCACUCCAGUCCUCUACACUUUGAUACAGCAGUUUGCUCAAACACGGUGUUUCAUAUUUCUAAGGGGGCUUUCACACCUACAUCGUUUGGUCUGGACUUUCUGACUUUUUUGUUUAGUCAGAACCAAAGGAUAGGUGUGAAACCUCCCUAGGACCUUAGUCCGGACCAAACAGCCAGACCUUGGUCCAACCUAAUGAGGUGGUCUUGGUCUGGACCACACUGAACCACGGUCUGGUUUAUGCCCAGUGUGAAAGCGUUAUUUUGAAAGGUUUGGACCUUUGUACCAAAGACAGGAAAUGACACGAGUAGUACAAGUGUCCAUUAUUAUAUAAAAUGGAGAUUGUCCACAAACGGGAAAUUUUACAUUAUUGUAGAUAAAGUUAUACCUCACUAUUGAAAGUUUAUCUUUUCAAGAGUUUUACUACACAGACUUUUCUACUGAGCCAGUGUUGCAAUGAUUUGCAGAAUUGUAUUCUUUCUUCUCCUUUCUUGUUGAUGUCAAUAAAGUUGUUGUCUAAUGAUCAAAUUCAUGAGACUUCCUUGGACCAGCCUCAUGUACUGCUCUUCAAGUUGUUGCUGUUGAAGGUAGAAAAUCAAAAAUGGCACGACAGUGGAAAUGACAAUUUCAUCCAUGUUUACACCAUUCAAGACCCGCACUUUUCAAUGUGUUGACGUCAGAUACCCGUCAGCCUAAUGACCAAUCAAUGUAAACUGCAGAGACACGCAAAGGACAUAGUUGAUGACGAUAUCAUGUAGGUUUGUCAUAUAAAGUCUGUUAGUCUGUUUGUAAUAAUGACAGUGUGAAACCUACCCCUAACCAAAUGUAAACAAUGUAACAAAAACACCCCACAUCACAGUUUCCAAGCAGCUCAUUAAAUGAAUAUGUGGUGUGAAUCAUCAGCCUGCUUGAGCUGAUAAGUCUCAGUCACUACUUUAGCCGUCCUGCUGAGCAUGGGUUCAGUAAAGUUCAUAACCAAAGGCUUUAGGUCCAGCUGUUGACCAUUUUCCUGUGAGUCAGGAUGAUUUCACUCUACAAAUCCCAGAGUAAAUAUUUCAUGUAUCUUUACUGAGAGGGUCUCAGCACUGUCACCACCAGCACUGUGUAAAAAGGCACUUCUCUCCUCCAGCUCACAAACUUCAACACCUGACACUUUUAUUACAUCUCCACCCCUUUUUUUAAAUUUAUUUGUGGCUUUUCUUUGGUGAGAGCACAAACUUUAUCCACUUUUAUUUUCAAUUUCCACAAUUUACAGUCAGAAAAUGGGACUUUAUAAGCCCUGGCUCUCAGUUUUGUUCAUGUUUCAGGGUCCUUUCUCUGAGUGAAUCUGAACACAGGUUUUAAAACCAAAUCAAAGCCUCUUGCUCUUGGCGCUGACAGUUGUGUGAAAACCUCUCUGCAACCCUCUUUUUUGUUCUUUAAUCUGUCAACUUCCCUCUACUCUCUGACACUUGACUACUUACAGACUCUUUCUUUGCAAUCCCCUCUGCUCCUAACUUUACAUUUCCUACUUUGCCUGUUUCCCUUUCAGACUAUUUUAACAUCUUUUUGUCUCUUUCUGACUUCACUCUUUACCCAUCGUGCACAUUAGGCACAACAAUACCACUAUACUGCGGAUGCUGAGAGUUUUCUAUUCAUUAUAAAGACAAACCCUCCUCAGCAGCUCUGAGAAAGAUCUUAGCUCAAAGCAAAGGACAACCAUUAGCUCGGUUGCUUGACAAAAAGCAAAAGAAGGAAGAAAAGUCACAAAUAAACCAAACGCCCUGGUGAAAAAUAAGGAAACUGCACAACUUAAAAGGAAAGGCUGCAGGGCAGGACACAAGUGCAGGCAGAACAAAGAAGCUGCAUUAUGACAUUUUAAAGGGCAGCCUCACAAAUUCAGUAUUAGACCACUGGAGCUCCUAGGCAGGCCGUCCUCACCACAGCUGGGCAGCUUUUCUUCAACAGAGUCUGAAUCUUUCCACUUUUUAAGGAUAUUUCUAAAGGUGUAAACAUCGAUCUUAGCACAACAUCUUGACAGCAAAGUGAAACCAGGUAUGAGCUCCAAUUACUGGACAGCCUGUAUGAGCUUGUACAUCUCUUCCUUACCCCUGUCAUCCAGGGAACAAAUUGUAUCAUCAACACAAAUAAAUGCAUUUGAUAUUCUUCUUCUAACUUAAAUCUCUCAACACAACUCCUCUCUAUUACACCUGCCUCUCUUCAGAGCUCAGGCAUGUCCAAAACUUGCCUUGUACUGUUUCUACAGUAAUGGGGAGUAAAUGGCAAAAUGCUCAGGCUGAAAUAUGAAGAUAAAGUGGUUGUUAUGCACAAAGUAAUGUAUAGAUAUUCUUGGUGGCAAAUUAUUGGGGGCGUAACAAUUCAUCUACAACUUAUCAGAAGACAUUUUGACUAUAAUUAUUAGGUAUUUGAGUUAUUGUUGCUAAGACUUUGCUUUUUUUAAAGUAACCUCCUCUGGCUUUAACAACAGCUCAUUAAAAAGAUACUGCUGAUUCAUGGGAUGCGUUUUUCUGACCGAUCGAUCCAAUUCAUCCCACAUAAGCUCAAUUGGAGAAAGGUUUGGAGACUGAGGGGGCCAAACCAUCUUUUGAAGAACACCUUCCUCUUCUUUUUUGUCAAGGUAACCCUGACAGAGCUUGGCAGAAUGCUUAGGGUCAUUGUCUUGCUGCAAAACAAACUAAUGAGCCACAAGUAUUAGUCCAGAUGGAACAGCAUGGUGCUGGAGGAUGGAGUGGUACUGCUCCUUCUUCAUGAUACCCUUUACUUCAUAAAUCUCCUACUCCAUCACCUGCAAAACAUCCCCAUACCAUGGAACUACCACCUCCAUGCUGAAAUGUGGGUGUAACACAUGGUGCUUUCAGACGUUCACCAGUUUGUCUGCGGACAUAGACUCUGCGUUUUGAACCAAACAGUUCAAACUUGUUUCUAGUCAUCAUAAGUCCAAUUUUUGUGAGCUUUUGCCCACUCAUAUCUCUUUUUCUUGUUCUGUGGACAAAGUAGUGUUUUUUUGUUUUUUUUUUUGCAGAUACACAAUCCUUCAGACCAGCCUUUCUCAAACAUCAUUUCACGGUUGUCAGAGAUAUGGGUUUCGACCUUGUCAUGUUGAUUUCCUCUCUUAUUUUUGGUGCUGUCUUUUGCUGAUCUCUCUUGCUGGUGAAAAUGCUAUGUUUAUCUUCUGCUUUUGUAGUAACUCUCUUUCGUCCAGGUCUUUUUCUAUCAUCGUAACUUCCAGGUUCCUCUAGUCUCUUCAAAGUGUAGUGGACUCCUUUGUUCAACACCUUUAGUUGAGAUUGAUUAGGAUUUUUGUUAUGCAGACUCUCAAAAACCAAAAAGUUGAAGUAAAUAAUCCAACUGUGAUUUGUUUUUUUUUCUUUUGUACUGAAGUUGUGACUCUUGAAAAUGUUUUCAACCCUAAAACUAAGCCCUUAUUAUCUUUUGCUGACAUAUAUUUAGUAAUGGUCUGUUAACAUCAAUGUAUAUCUAAAGGUAAAUGGAGUAAAAUGGUGCAUUUCCAUGAAAGCAACAUCUGAUCAUGGAGUAAAUACAUCCCAAAAUACAUAAAACUCAUGCUGGAUUUUGAAAAAAGCAUUGUGAACAAAAACUUGAAGUUACUCCCAACUGUUUGGCCUGUAAUGGCCUUGCUUCCAAACUUUUGGCCUGUAGUGUAUGUAUCAAUUUAUAUUCCUAUGUCAAACUAUAUCGAUCUGUGCUCGGCAAGUUGGCCUUCCGGACAACAUAUAUCAAUCUAACAUCAUUUAAAAUGUAAUAAAUUGCUUGAACCGAUACUUGGAAAUAACCCAGUAGAUUUAAGCAUGGCAGACUGUGCAUGGAUGUGUUUUUUUCACUUUUAAUAAUAAAGACCUUCACAGUUACUUGAUUCAGUCUGUCUGUCUGUGACAUCAUCGCCACGUGUCAGCAGACAACAAAACAUAGCAUGGCGGAUAGCGGACGUGAAGUCGGUGAGCGAGAAAUUAUCAAGCCACCGUUGCAGUCCAGUGUAUGUUGUAUUUGUAUUAUUUCUAUGCUGAAAAACAACAGUAAAACUAGCAGACACGUACGUCAGCCUAACUGACAUCUAUAAAAUAAAACUAGAGUAACCUGCCAUUGAGUUUUAACUUUAAUCACCUUAAAUUAAUUUAACAUAGUCCAUAAUUAGUUACUUCAUUAUCCUGUACAUUGAAGUCAUUUUCUCCCAUCAAAUUGCUAACCAGAUCUCUCUGUAUGUCUCUGAGCCCCAGCCCUCUAGGUUGCUCUGGACUGAUGGCUGCUGCAGACCUGCCUGACUUCAGCCACAUCGUCUAUGAUUGUCCGCCUCAGGCCCUGAGCUCCUUCUUCUCUUGGGUUCCUCUGGACUGUUGCUGCAGACAUGAACAUCAGCCUCACUGAUAUUAAUAACAUAAAACUAGAGUUAACUACUAUUAGGCCUGCUGACUGUAAUCACAUUAAAUUAAUUUAACAUUGUCCAUAAUUACUCAUAUACUAACCUUGUAAACUGAAUUCAUUUUGUUUCACCAUUACAUGAGCUGUUGUUGUUGUUGCUGUUGUUUCUUCUGUCCCCUGUCUCUCUCUCACCCUUGUUCUCUACUCUCUCUCCCUCUCCCUUACUUAUUCUCUCUCUCCUUCCCCUUAUCUUGUUCUCUCUCUCUCCCCCUGCCCUCUCCCCUCUCUCUCUCUCUCUCUCUCUCUCUCUUUCUCUCUCUCCUCUCUCUCUCCCCCUAUCUCUCUACAUUCCUCCCCAACCCAGCAGCAGCAUGGUGGCUGUCUGGCAUGAGUCUGGUCCUGCUCAAGGUUUCUGCCUGUUAAAAGGAAGUUUUUCCUUGCCACUGCUACUCAUGUUAGAUGAGAUGGGCCAAAACCCAUUUUAGGUUGGUUCUUGAUAAUUCAUGAAUUGGCGCUACAUAAAUAAAAUUUGAUUGAUUGAUGAUUGAAUUUGAAAACUAGCAUAUGG